rnacentral:rRNA from 1 species
GAUGAACGCUGGCGGCGUGCCUAAUACAUGCAAGUCGAGCGAACGGACGAGAAGCUUGCUUCUCUGAUGUUAGCGGCGGACGGGUGAGUAACACGUGGAUAACCUAUCUAUAAGACUGGGAUAACUUCGGGAAACCGGAGCUAAUACCGGAUAAUAAUUUGAACCGCAUGGUUCAAAAGUGAAAGACGGUCUUGCUGUUACUUAUAGAUGGAUCCGCGCUGCAUUAGCUAGUUGGUAAGGUAACGGCUUACCAAGGCAACGAUGCAUAGCCGACCUGGGAGGGUGAUCGGCCACACUGGAACUGAGACACGGUCCAGACUCCUACGGGAGGCAGCAGUAGGGAAUCUUCCGCAAUGGGCGAAAGCCUGACGGAGCAACGCCGCGUGAGUGAUGAAGGUCUUCGGAUCGUAAAACUCUGUUAUUAGGGAAGAACAUAUGUGUAAGUAACUGUGCACAUCUUGACGGUACCUAAUCAGAAAGCCACGGCUAACUACGUG